GAGCAGCAGGCAAAGUACUACCAGGAGGCAGACGCAGUCAGGCGCCGCCAUGAGCAGCAGCACCCCCAGUGGUCCAGCAGGGACAACUACGGCCAGAAGAGGAAGAGGAGGCGUCAGGGGAGCACAGCUCCCAGCAGCUCUGGAGCUUCCUCUUCUCAGCCUGAGGGAGGGUCUGCAGCACC